rnacentral:rRNA from 1 species
UACGUAGGUGGCAAGCGUUGUCCGGAUUUACUGGGCGUAAAGAGCGCGCAGGCGGUCGUUCAAGUCGCGUGUGAAAGCCCCCGGCUCAACUGGGGAGGGUCACGCGAUACUGAUCGACUCGAAGGCAGGAGAGGGAAGUGGAAUUCCCGGUGUAGUGGUGAAAUGCGUGAGAUAUCGGGGAGGAACACCAGUGGCGAAGGCGACUACCUGGCCUGUUCUUGACGCUGAGGCGCGAAAGCUAGGGGAGCAAACGGG